rnacentral:rRNA from 1 species
GGCGGUGUUUGGCACCUCGAUGUCGGCUCAUCACAUCCUGGGGCUGAAGUCGGUCCCAAGGGUAUGGCUGUUCGCCAUUUAAAGUGGUACGCGAGCUGGGUUUAGAACGUCGUGAGACAGUUCGGUCCCUAUCUGCCGUGGGCGUUGGAAGAUUGAAGGGGGCUGCUCCUAGUACGAGAGGACCGGAGUGGACGAACCUCUGGUGUUCGGGUUGUGUCGCCAGACGCAUUGCCCGGUAGCUAAGUUCGGAAUUGAUAAGCGCUGAAAGCAUCUAAGCGCGAAGCGAGCCCUGAGAUGAGUCUUCCCUGACAGUUUAACUGUCCUAAAGGGUUGUUCGAGACUAGAACGUUGAUAGGCAGGGUGUGUAAGCGUUGUGAGGCGUUGAGCUAACCUGUACUAAUUGCCCGUGAGGCUUAACCAU